rnacentral:rRNA from 1 species
UUGAAGAAGGCCUUAUGGUUGUAAAGCACUUUAUCGACGAGGACGCUACUUAAGUUAAUACCUAGAGAUAGUGGACGUUACUCGCAGAAUAAGCACCGGCUAACUCUGUGCCAGCAGCCGCGGUAAUACAGAGGGUGCAAGCGUUAAUCGGAUUUACUGGGCGUAAAGCGCGCGUAGGCGGCUAAUUAAGUCAAAUGUGAAAUCCCCGAGCUUAACUUGGGAAUUGCAUUCGAUACUGGUUAGCUAGAGUGUGGGAGAGGAUGGUAGAAUUCCAGGUGUAGCGGUGAAAUGCGUAGAGAUCUGGAGGAAUACCGAUGGCGAAGGCAGCCAUCUGGCCUAACACUGACGCUGAGGUGCGAAAGCAUGGGGAGCAAACAGGAUUAGAUACCCUGGUAGUCCAUGCCGUAAACGAUGUCUACUAGCCGUUGGGGCCUUUGAGGCUUUAGUGGCGCAGCUAACGCGAUAAGUAGACCGCCUGGGGAGUACGGUCGCAAGACUAAAACUCAAAUGAAUUGACGGGGGCCCGCACAAGCGGUGGAGCAUGUGGUUUAAUUCGAUGCAACGCGAAGAACCUUACCUGGCCUUGACAUAGUAAGAACUUUCCAGAGAUGGAUUGGUGCCUUC